UCAGAGUCACAGGAUGAGGACUUCCCUACCCUGGUGCUGUGGCCACCCCUUAUGCAACUCCGGGCUGGUGGCUAUGCCACUCCGAGGCUCCACUGGUCACUGGUGCCAGGCUGUUCAAGGGUGCGGUCCACGCUCGGUGGCUGAAGAGGUCGUUUACUGUCCCACCCAGUUUCUGUGGGGAGUGGAAGACAUCACGCUGCAGUGACCUGCGUGUACCCAGCUUGACAGCAGUGCAAUUCACAGUAGUUCAGCCACAGAAGCAGCCUAGAUGCCCAUCAAAAGUACGCAGAUGCCAGCCCUUGCAGGAGCAGCUGGACCAGACUUCCUCCCCGCACCUGCAGCUGUACAGACGCGAAUUCUCCAGACUCUUCCUCAGAGGAUCCUCAGUCCGGCAGCCACCAGGACGCUUCCUGCCAGCCCCGCCGUUCCCUCGGAGGGUUGAUCGCUGCCUAGACAAGAGGUGACCAAGGUGUAAGGUCCAUGGCAAAGAGCGGGGCCUGGCAAUGCCGGUCUCAGUGUUUCCUGGGGCGGUUCCAGCUUGCUGGGACGGAGGGGCUGUCGCCUUGGCCCAUGGUGCAGGCCGUCCCCUCUCAUCACAGUAUUGCCCUCGAGUUCUUUUUUUUUUAAACACAAAAAUCCAACUUUAUUGAACAUAGGAAUAAAUGGAUUUUCAAAUUAA